GCUAAACGAAUUGCGUAAAACUAGAUUUUAAUAAUUCAAAAUGCCUUCAUGUGUUGUGAAAUGGUGUCGAAAUCAUACGGAUCAUCACCACAAGGAUAGUGGAAUAACUUUUCACGUAGAACAAUGGGUAAAAGCUGUUCAGUUAGAGAGACAAGAAAAUGAUUGGAUGCCUAGCAAAAGCUCGAGAAUAUGUUCCAUUCCUUUUAGAGAUGAUGAUUUUUAUCUGUCAAAGAAGGGAUUCAGAAUGAUUAAAAAAGUCGCUACACCUAGUUGUACUAUGGUGUUUUCAAACGAAAUUCCGGUUUUAACGACUCCAUCCCCACAGC